rnacentral:rRNA from 1 species
UAGGGAAUCUUCCACAAUGGACGCAAGUCUGAUGGAGCAACGCCGCGUGAGUGAAGAAGGUCUUCGGAUCGUAAAGCUCUGUUGUUGGUGAAGAAGGAUAGAGGCAGUAACUGGUCCUUAUUUGACGGUAAUCAACCAGAAAGUCACGGCUAACUACGUGCCAC